rnacentral:tRNA from 1 species
UCUAAUAAUAAGCUAAAUUUAUAAGCUAUUGGGCUCAUAACUCAAAAAUGAAAUAUUUUCUUUUUAGAU